rnacentral:misc_RNA from 1 species
GCUUUCCAGGGGCAUUUUCGGGACGGUUUUAUCCGGAACAUUCGUUCGCGCCGUCUGCGUCCACCGUCCGAACUCCGACGUGGCGCGCCCUGCGCCGCCCGCUCGGCGGCGGCAACGCUCCGGCCAGCUCGGCCUCCUCGACGCUGUUCGCCGAUGGGGACGACGACGGUGAGGUCGACGCCGGCGGUUGCCGUCCGUCCAUGCGUUUGGGAUCCUCAGGGAUGUUUGUCGUCGCUGAUGCCCGCCUCGAGCCAAGCUACAACUGCGUGUCAGGAGCUACAACCAAGCAUAUAAGAGAACAUCCAUAUUCCAUAGUAAACAUAAUCGACUGACAUCGAAGAAAGAAAGGUACUCCAUUGUAGUCAGCGACAUCCCGUCCAAGGGCAAUGGGGCCUACACUGGAAUCACCGGCGGUGUUUGCACCAGCAGCGUGGGUUUCCCAUCUUCAGGGAUAUUCGUCAAGAAUACCGGAUCCGAUGGGAUGAUCUGCGUUGGCGUCAUCGACUGACCUUGUUGUGCCCGAGGACUAUAGAUGAUGUUUGCAAUGCCACCAACGGCGCUCCUGUCGAGCAGCUCCAAGUAUACAGUGGCAGGCAUUCCGGAUCUGAUUGGAUGAUCUGUGUUGGCAUCACCGCCUGACCUUCUGGGCAAGUUCUAAAUUCCAUAUCUCCCAGACCUGCUGGGCUAAAAUCAUGAAAUUUCAUAAUAGCAAAGAUGUCUAGACCCCUAUAAUUUUUGUAUUACCAAGUUUAGGAGAAAAAGUGUCUACCCCAACUUUCUUGGGACUAAUAGGUUUUGCUGUUGUUGUUGCAAGUUUAGGAGAAAAAGUCGUUUCAUAGACGAAAUUGUCACCCGAUUCAGAACUGGGCAAACUGAAAUUUCAGCAUCC